GGUUUAGGAUAUGAUGAUGCUUGUAGCACAGUAUAACACUUUUUGGCGGCGCAUGAAAGUGCGCUACACGUUUUUUUUUUUCCCUUUUUGCAUAUUU